rnacentral:rRNA from 1 species
UGGCGGACGGGUGAGUAAUACUUGGGAAUCUGCCCAGUAGUGGGGGACAACAUUCGGAAACGGAUGCUAAUACCGCAUACGCACUACGGUGGAAAGUGGGGGAUCUUCGGACCUCACGCUAUUGGAUGAGCCCAAGUCGGAUUAGCUUGUAGGUAGGGUAACGGCCUACCUAGGCGACGAUCCGUAGCUGGUCUGAGAGGACGAUCAGCCACACUGGGACUGAGACACGGCCCAGACUCCUACGGGAGGCAGCAGUGGGGAAUAUUGGACAAUGGGCGCAAGCCUGAUCCAGCAAUGCCGCGUGUGUGAAGAAGGCCUGCGGGUUGUAAAGCACUUUCAGUAAAAGAAAAAAAGCCCUAAGGUUUAUACCCCUGAGUCUUGACGUUAACCUACAGAAGAAGCACCGGCUAACUCCGUGCCAGCAGCCGCGGUAAU